GUGUUUAUAUGUAUAUAUAUAUACAUACAUAUAUUUUUUUUCCCGAUCGUCCACACAGCGUCAUCUGGGGUUCCCGAAGGUCAGAAAAUGGCUAUUGAUUAAUCUAUUGGAAUAGUUGCCGACAGAAAUAAAAAAAAGACGUAAAAUUACAGGGAACCUAUAAAUAAAGAAGCCGUAACUAGCUGCUCGGAGUUGUUAAACGACUUAGCAUGUGAAAAAGUCGGGAAUGAGGCGCUGGGGAAGGAGCCGGGAUUGGCAGCGGCCUGGGGCGUAGAUAAACUCUCCAAGAUUUAACUUCCGCAGAAACCAGCAGCAGAGGGGGCGGAGGAGGAGGCGAGGACGCGGCCGGUGCACACCGAGUUCCUCUGCCAAGGAAAGUCAGUGAUGCUGCACCGCUUUGUGGCCCGCAGGCUCAGGACCGUUUACAAUACUAUGUAGACAGCCUCUCUCGAAACCGACCAGAGCGGCGAGCUGGCUGCCCACUGUCCCCCGGCAGCAGAGGUUCUGGCUGCAACUGUCCCCAGCAAGCUAAUAAUUACAACAGAAAGGUCGGAAGAACAAGAGAAAGAAACUGA
rnacentral:lncRNA from 9 species